rnacentral:rRNA from 1 species
UGGGGAAUUUUGGACAAUGGGCGCAAGCCUGAUCCAGCAAUGCCGCGUGCAGGAUGAAGGCCUUCGGGUUGUAAACUGCUUUUGUACGGAACGAAACGGCUCUGGUUAAUACCUGGGGCUAAUGACGGUACCGUAAGAAUAAGCACCGGCUAACUACGUGCCAGCAGCCGCGGUAAUACGUAGGGUGCGAGCGUUAAUCGGAAUUACUGGGCGUAAAGCGUGCGCAGGCGGUGAUGUAAGACAGAUGUGAAAUCCCCGGGCUCAACCUGGGACCUGCAUUUGUGACUGCAUCGCUGGAGUGCGGCAGAGGGGGAUGGAAUUCCGCGUGUAGCAGUGAAAUGCGUAGAUAUGCGGAGGAACACCGAUGGCGAAGGCAGCCUCCUGGGCCAGUACUGACGCUCAUGCACGAAAGCGCGGGGAGCAAACA